rnacentral:rRNA from 1 species
CCUACGGGUGGCAGCAGUGAGGAAUAUUGGUCAAUGGACGAGAGUCUGACCCAGCCAAGUAGCGUGAAGGAUGACUGCCCUAUGGGUUGUACACUUCUUUUAUAUGGGAGUAAAAUGAUCCACGUGUUGGAUAUGGUAUGUACCAUAUGAAUAAGGAUCGGCUCACUCCGUGCCAGCAGCCGCGGUAAUACGGAGGAUCCGAGCGUUAUCCGGAUUUAUUGGGUUUAAAGGGAGCGUAGGUGGAUUGUUAAGUCAGUUGUGAGAGUGUGCGGCUCAACCGUAAAAUUGCAGUUGAAACUGGCAGUCUUGAGUACAGUAGAGGUGGGCGGAAUUCGUGGUGUAGCGGUGAAAUGCUUAGAUAUCACGAAGAACUCCGAUUGCGAAGGCAGUUCACUGGACUGCAACUGACACUGAGGCUCGAAAGUGUGGGUAUCAAACAGGAUUAGAUACCCCAGUAGUC